rnacentral:lncRNA from 1 species
CGUCUUCAUGGAACUCUGUUGUUCAACAAAAGUAUUGCCAUGAGUACAUUACAUACUCAACAUGCCUCCCACGGGGAAGGACCUAAUAGCUACAUGUGGCUUCAAAUGGCUCAUUUGCAUAAAGCUAAUUUUGUUUGACAAAUAAAGUAGUUGAAUAAUAGCGGUUUUAGAUGAAAACAUGUUUUAUCUCCAGAAUAAUAUCUUUCUUCAAGUGAGGAUCCUCGAUCAACUCACGUCCUUCAUAGGUUUCAAGAAUAGGGGCAAAGAGGGAAUAAGCAAGACAGGUCCCGUACGUCAAGAAAGAUUCAUGUGCUAUCCAUGACCGUGGACACGGCUAUUACACUUUACCCACACGACACAAUCCCGACUUGUUGCCACCAGUGGCUGCUGGCGUAGUACACCUUUUGGUAUACCGGCAGGGAUUGUGACGAGGUCUUUCAUUAGACCAAACUUACUGUGCCAAGCCCACUAGGUUUCAACACGAAAGUAACUGCAGUUCACAGUCCGGGCCCCCCUUUUGUGCCGAGGAUACUCCUCGCAAGGCAGCUAUCCCAUCUGCGGUACGGCGAUGACGACAAUAAGAGUGAACUAACUAAUUAACCAAGCCAGUGCCCAUAUAGCAUGUGGCUGUACUGUUAUCACAAUCUUCAAAUCCAAGACUUAUUAGGCCUCAUGCAGCACAGACGACUGAUUGCCCCCUUCAACACGUGAAGGGUGGCCAAUCACUCCUUCAAUCCUUGAUUCAGCUGUCGCACGCACCAGUAUUCAGAUGAUAAGUUUCACCCAGAGUAGAAGAGGAUAGAGAAGGUCAACAAGGGCCUACUGUCCUAGCUCAGCGUUAAGUUUCAACUGUCAAUGACUUAGAGGUCAUUCAACAAAGCACCUAUAGGGUGAUAAGCAUGGCUAAGCAUUUCUACUCUACCAGAAUUAUGUACUUCUACUUAGGUGUCAAGUAAAUAGGCGACAAGCGGAUAAGGGUAAUGUGUCAAUCGACAUGCUAGUUACGAGAAAUAAAAUAGCAUGCAUAUAGUAACAAUAAAACUCAAUGCAAUUUUGUAAACCAUAGGAUAAGUAUGAUAAAAAAAGGAGGCAUGCCUUCGUUGUUUAGUCCUUUUUUUGGAAACCUGGUUCUGUUGAUGUCCAACCUCGUCACUCCCUACUCGUUGUAACGAUAGAAAAAGCAAACAAUAAAUACCAAAGCAAUAGCAAAUCCAAAUAACAUUCAAAACAAUUUAAGAGUGGAUAGAUAGCAAGAUAUCGAUCAACAUGGAGAUUCCAAAAGGAUAUAGCACGAUUGGAAGGUAAGUAGAGAGGAUUCGACGGAUAGGCGGGGUUUAGGUUGAAGAUGACUAACGAAGGCCUGGUGACCAAGACUAACGUUCUGAUUCGAACUAUGCGAUUAAACAUAGUAGUGCCCACUACACACCUCGACUAACUAUAUAAAAAUCUAUAAACGCGCAUGAAAUGGAACCAUCUUAUGCAUCUUAACUACACAAGCACAACAUGGCUGAUUAAACGUAACAAUUAACCACAAAUAAAUAUUUAGAAGUAUCUAAAUAUUUAUAAUGGUUAACAACAAGGAAAUUCUAAACAUCAACCAUAGCAGCUAUUAGGAAGCAUCUAUGUAACAAAAGACAACUAAUGUUAUGGUAGAAACUAAUUAAACAACUUAAUAUAAAAACACACAUCUCACACAAGGCAUGUGAGUAUAGGAACAUACAGAUGUCUUAAAUAAUAACACAAGCAUCACACAUAAAAGUUAUCAAGAGAAGAUACUAAAUUAGGACAUGCUCUUAAUAAUAAAGAACAACUAAUACCAAUGAUUACUAGCAAUACUAUUAUCACCACAUGCUUACAAUAACAAGGCAUGAUACACACACUGAGUGUGUGAUCAAAGCACAACUCUACUGACAUGACAUAUGACUCGUCCUAAGUUUAAGAGUCAUAGCAAGUAUUAAAACACUCAUAAGACUAAGAUGUAAUGAAGUUAAACAUCUAUAAGAAAGAACUAACUAAGCAACCAUAACACACGCAACACCAUAAGACAUGAAAGAUUACUUGCAUGAAAUAUGUCUAGGCAUAUCAUAAUGCAAUAAAAAGGUAAACAAAACAUAUCAAAUGCCACGCAUACAACAAUGCAAUAACCAGAUAAACUCAUAUGAUGUGUAAACAUGGAUGGUCAUCACACGAGAUACCACACUGCCAUACCAAUAGAAUAGAAUGAAACACCCAACUUAGUUCAUAUCGACUACAUAAAUAGAAAGCAUGGAAAUAGGACACAACUCUAUGAGACUAGUUGACACGCAUGAACAUGGAAGCAUGAAAGUAGCACACAACAAUUGUUGUUUAUAACAUACAAACACAUGGACACAUCAUACUAAGCAUGUAGGCAAUUUAAACCACUAAAUCAUGCCGUCAACAAUAUCAAGUAAUAUCCUAUACUCGAAUGAGUAACAAGAUGGCAAGCAUUCGUAUGUUGUAGAACCUACACUUGCAACUGCAUAGUGGACAACUAGGCAUGAUCUAAUACAUGAAUACACACACACACACACACACACACACACACACACACUCUAUGCCCUCUAGUUAUACAAUCACAAAAUCAUGGCACGAUAUUGAAGCAAGAAGGAAUCUUGCUGAGUUAUAAUAUAUGAGAUCAUAAACUACUAACAUGUACCUCUUCCAAGCAAAUAUUAAUCAUAAGAUUGGUCAUGCAAUACAAAGUAGUAAUCAUAUAACACAUGGUAGGCUUACCAUAGAAACAUGCAUUCUACUUUGAGUAAGUACUACACAACCUAGCAAUCAACUAAGCAUGCACAACUAUCAUCCUAGGUAAACAAAACACCUAGGGUAAUUAAUAAAUAAUAAACAUGGUUAUGUGCUAGAAGCAUAAACCAUAUUCAACAAUAUAAAUCUAAAAUAUAAACCAACUAGGUAAUCUAGGAUGGUGAGAUCUACAAAAGCAGAGGAACAACUACGCCAUAAUGUGUUAUGCAAUAGGGAACUAUAUUGGAUUUAUUCUAAAGUAACAUAGCACUUCAUUUCACAGCUAGAACCUAGCAUAAAGAAAACUAUGCAAAAUCACACAUGAUAAAUACUUAAACAACUAUCAUAGGCAUGACAUGAUUUCAAACCAAUAAAUUCACAUGCAACAUGGAUGAACAUGAAUAUGUAAACUAUAUCUAAGAUAUAUCCAUAAUAAGCAAAAAAUAAAGUAAUCAAAACAUGGAAUAUUCCAUAAUUAAAUGAAACAAGCAAAACUUAAGAGUAAUUCACCAUAAAUCUAAAUAUCUCAGAAAUUGUUACAAAUAGAUAUCAUACUACUACAAUCAUACAAGAAAUGCUAAUAUAAUCAUAAGCGCUUCACAUAUCAACAAUUCAUGCAACAACUAUCGUACACCUAUAGACAUCAAACAAAUCUUAAUGAUUAAACAUGGAGAUUUCUACGCAUGGCAAUAGUUCUCAAAAAUUAGAACACAAGCAUAAAAAGAAAUAUAUAUAGGGUAGCACAAAUUACCGCGCCAAAGAAAAUACGUAUAACUAUUUUAACAAUUUAAACAAGAGUAAAAUAAAUCUAUUAAAUCAUACGCUACUCCUAAUAAUAUGAAAUAACUAGGAGCGAUUCCUAGGCAUAUCAAAAACAAAUGAAAAUAACAUUCAAACAAAAAGUUCACCGAAUAUUGUACACAUGCAUAAAGUGAACUAUACGCGAUACAACAAAUUGUCUAGCCGAAACAACAUGCAAAACCUAUUUUAAAUAACUCCAAUUGAUAAACAAAUACAUCUAACAACUCACAUGUGAAACUAAAAUUAUGAGAGACAUAUCCCGAACAUAUGGAAAUAGCAUAUUACAAAAAGAUCAUCAAACUAGAAAGCCUCUUGUAUUCUACCGCAAAAAUGACUACGAAAAUAUAAAUUGUACCGCUUGCAAGAUCAAACUAUCAAUCUAACACGACAAUAUGAUUACUACAGCCACAAGAAACCUUUUAUACGUUGACCACACGAUCAUCCGACGGGCAGAAAAUAAAAAGACAAGCCGACGCUAUCAAUUAUAAUUUGGUUUUGGACACAUGCGGCCAACGACAUAGAUAGAUUGAAUCAUGAUGUCUAGGAGGUACUACAUGUGACACUUAGAAGGCGUGCAAGAGGAAUUUGGUAGAGGCUCACCGAGUUUGAUGGAACGGUGCGAUGAACUCGACGAACAGUGUAGACGUACAUGCAGAAUUCUUCAUGUACAGUCGACGGUACGAACUUCAUCUUCCCUGAAUGGAUUCAUGACAUGGUGGAGAAGAACCUGGCGCAACCGCGCAAGGGUUUGGAUGAAGAUGGCGUGCAUCACCGGGAUCAAGCACAGCGUCCAUGGAGCAUCAUCUUUUUAAGAGAGUUUCUGGACAGGAAGAGGAAGCAAGAGGGCAGUGGAUUGAGAAACGGUUGAGAGAUUAAGAGAGUUCAAGGGAGGGUGAUUCAUUCAUUGGUGUGGCUCUCCCUUCGUGUACUUGUGCCUGUACGUUUACGUGCGUGAAGGCAGGAGACGAUGGGCUGGCACGGGGAGAUAAACCAAGUGGAAGAUAAAAGGAAAGAAGACAAAUUAAAGGAGUGAAUGGGCGUG